CAAGAGCGUAUGUAAAAGUUGUUGCAGUUAAAAAGCUCGUAGUUGAACCUUGGGUUUGGUUAGCCGGUCCGCUUUUUUGCGAGUACUGGAUUCAACCGAGCCUUUCCUUCUGGCUAACCAGUCGUUUCGGCGGCUGGCGAACCAGGAUUUUUACUUUGAGAAAAUUAGAGUGUUCAAAGCAGGCAUUAGCUUGAAUAUAUUAGCAUGGAAUAAUAGAAUAGGACGUUAUGGUUCUAUUUUGUUGGUUUCUAGGACCAUCGUAAUGAUUAAUAGGGACGGUCGGGGGCAUCAGUAUUCAGUUGUCAGAGGUGAAAUUCUUGGAUUUACUGAAGACUAACUACUGCGAAAGCAUUUGCCAAGGACGUUUUCAUUAA
rnacentral:rRNA from 1 species